AAGUCGGGACCUAAGGUUCAGCCGAACGGCGAGACCGAUGGCAGAAACGGUAAAGAUUCCGUUACUACCUCCAAUGGUGACGUGGAGACGCAGCAGUGACACCACCGCCAGCUGACGGAAUAGCCGGUUAAAGAGUGUAGACGUCGAUUCCCGCAGGCAAAUCCACGGGAAGAGUCGAACUUGAGAGUACACCAACUCCUUCGGGAAGCGGUGAUAGUG
rnacentral:rRNA from 1 species